rnacentral:lncRNA from 10 species
UUUUUUGUAGAAGCAUCAUGAGAAAUGUCUAGACAUUGAAAGCCUUAUCCCUAUCAUAGCCUGGUUUUAAUCUUAUUAACUCCAUGUUUUCCCAGUAUGAAUGCUCUGUUAAAACAGUAUUUACAAGCAAGACAGGACAGUGGCCCACCCAGGAAUGACACAAAGCCAGGGGAGCCUCCCCCACCUAGGGAAGCGGUGAGCAAAUGUGCGACCCCGGAAAACCACGUUUCUCCUACAGAUCUUCGCAACUCUUGGGUCAGGAGAUCUCCUUGUGAACCCAACAGGGCCUUCAGUCUUGAGUCAGAGGGACAGAGCUAGGUGGAGUUUCGGCAGAGCUCAGGCUUGCGCGCAGACCCUGGAGCCUUAGAUACUUCCGCUUUCCAGCAAAAGCAGCUGCAGCUCUGGCAAAGUGGGAGGUUAGACUCCCACACAUAUUUCUAGGAAAGAGCCUGAAUCCCGGGAGCUGAGCAGCAACAGCCCGAAGAUCCCACUUCCACAGCAUCUCACAAGAUAAGACCCACUGGCUUGGAAUUCCAGCCAGCUACCAAUAGCUGCAUUGCAGCCCCAUAAAAAGAAGCUCGGCAAGGGGGUGACAUCUUUGCUGUUCGGAUGCGUUAGUCAUUCCAGCUUUCAGGCUUUGGAGAGUCUGAGCCAAUCCAGGGUGGAAGGGAUCCCCCAGCACAGCACAGCUGCUCUACCAAAACGUGGCCAGGCUGCUGAUUUAAGUAGGUGCCCGAUCCCAUUCCUCCUCACUGGGUAGGACCUUCCAACUGGGACCUCCAGUUGCCCGGCUCAAGCUCUCCACGGACAGAGAUCUAAAUUCCCCCAACAUGUUUGGAUGGUAAACUCACCUGGUGAUGUUUUCAAGAUGGCUGCCUAAGGGGACAGUUUGAGGCCAUGAAAGAGAGAAA